AAGCAGGGGAUCGUAAGACCUUGCGCUUUUGGAGCGGCCGAUGCCUGAUUAGCUAGUUGGUGGGGUAAGGGCCUACCAAGGCGACGAUCAGUAGUUGGUCUGAGAGGACGACCAGCCACACUGGGACUGAGACACGGCCCAGACUCCUACGGGAGGCAGCAGUGGGGAAUUUUGGACAAUGGGCGGAAGCCUGAUCCAGCAAUGCCGCGUGAGUGAAGAAGGCCUUCGGGUUGUAAAGCUCUUUCAGUCGAGAAGAAAAGGUUGCGACUAAUAAUCGCAACUUAUGACGGUAUCGACAGAAGAAGCACCGGCUAACUACGUGCCAGCAGCCGCGGUAAUACGUAGGGUGCGAGCGUUAAUCGGAAUUACUGGGCGUAAAGGGUGCGCAGGCGGCUCUGUAAGUCAGAUGUGAAAUCCCCGGGCUUAACCUGGGAAUUGCGUUUGAAACUACAAGGCUAGAGU
rnacentral:rRNA from 1 species